rnacentral:rRNA from 1 species
GUGCCAGCAGCCGCGGUAAUACGGAGGGUGCAAGCGUUGCUCGGAAUCACUGGGCGUAAAGAGCGUGUAGGCGGUUUCGUAUGUCUGACGUGAAAGCCCCGGGCUCACCCCGGGAAGUGCGUUGGAAACUGCGAGACUAGAGUCCCGGAGAGGAAGGUGGAAUUCCAGGUGUAGCGGUGAAAUGCGUAGAUAUCUGGAAGAACACCGGUGGCGAAGGCGGCCUUCUGGACGGUGACUGACGCUGAGACGCGAAAGCGUGGGGAGCAAACAGGAUUAGAAACCCCAGUAGUCC